rnacentral:tRNA from 1 species
GCGGGUGUAGCUCAGUGGUAGAGCAUCAGCCUUCCAAGUUGAUGGUCGCGGGUUCAAGUCCCGUCGCCCGCU